rnacentral:rRNA from 1 species
GACGAACGCUGGCGGCGUGCUUAACACAUGCAAGUCGAGCGGUAAGGCCCUUUCGGGGGUACACGAGCGGCGAACGGGUGAGUAACACGUGGGUGACCUGCCCUUAGCUCUGGGAUAAGCCUGGGAAACUGGGUCUAAUACCGGAUAUGACUCCAUGACGCAUGUUGUGGGGUGGAAAGCCUUGUGCGGCUAGGGAUGGGCCCGCGGCCUAUCAGCCUGUUGGUGGGGUGAUGGCCACCAAGGCGACGACGGGUAGCCGGCCUGAGAGGGCGACCGGCCACACUGGGACUGAGACACGGCCCAGACUCCUACGGGAGGCAGCAGUGGGGAAUCUUGCGCAAUGGCGAAAGCUGACGCAGCGACGCCGCGUGGGGAUGACGGCCU